rnacentral:rRNA from 1 species
AUUGAACGCUGGCGGCAGGCCUAACACAUGCAAGUCGAACGAGUGGCGGACGGGUGAGUAAUGUCUGGGAAACUGCCCGAUGGAGGGGGAUAACUACUGGAAACGGUAGCUAAUACCGCAUAACAUCAGAUGUGCCCAGAUGGGAUUAGCUAGUUGGUGGGGUAAUGGCACACCAAGGCGACGAUACGUAGCUGGUCUGAGAGGAUGACCAGCACCACUGGAACUGAGACACGAUCCAGACUCCUACGGGAGGCAGCAGUGGGGAAUAUUGCACAAUGGGCGCAAGCCUGAUGCAGCCAUGCCGCGUGGAUGAAGAAGGCCUUCGGGUUGUAAAGUACUUUCAGCGGGGAGGCGUUACCCGCAGAAGAAGCACCGGCUAACUCCGUGCCAGCAGCCGCGGUAAUUC